AGAGUGAACGCUGGCGGUAGGCCUAACACAUGCAAGUCGAACGGCAGCACGGUAAGAGCUUGCUCUUAUGGGUGGCGAGUGGCGGACGGGUGAGGAAUACAUCGGAAUCUACCUUUUGGUGGGGGAUAACGUAGGGAAACUUACGCUAAUACCGCAUACGCCCUUCGGGGGAAAGCCGGGGACCAGCAAUGGCCUGGUGCUGAUAGAUGAGCCGAUGUCGGAUUAGCUAGUUGGUGAGGUAAUGGCUCACCAAGGCGACGGAUCCGUAGCUGGUCUGAGAGGAUGAUCAGCCACACUGGAACUGAGACACGGUCCAGACUCUACGGGAGGCAGCAGUGGGGAAUAUUGGACAAUGGGCGCAAGCCUGAUCCAGCCAUACCGCGUGGUGAAGAAGGCCUUACGGUGUAAA
rnacentral:rRNA from 1 species